GCCCCAAAGCCUUAGAAAUUGCAGUGCCCCACUGACUACCAACCCAGAAACCAGUCCAACUCUCAUUGCCUUCAUCUUAGAGAGCAAUCCUUAAGGAUAAAAGACCUGAUAACUGCUCCUGUGGUACCCACCCGCCUUCAAUAUCCAAAACUUCCAAUGAUCCCCAAAAGAAAGUUCUCUUCACUAAAAUCUUUGGCACUUUCAAAUGAUGUAGCAUAAAAAAAUAAAGAGGAUUUUAUUAAUGGGAAUGACACUAUAGGAAAUAUAUUGCCAUCUGCCCUGCUGCUAUACCCUAAGGACCAUAGGGCCUUUCCAUUUGAUUUGUAGCUGAAUCUUUCCACAUAUAUUCUUUCCCCUAUUAGGAUAAUUUAUCCUUGAGAACAGGGCAUUACUGUUUCACCUUACUGUUUGUAUCUCUAGCAUUGAGCCCAUGUUUUGUUCAUAGUAAGUGCUUAAUAGAUGCUUAAUCCUUCCUUCCCUAUCAGCUCUUGUGCAUUUGAAUCCUUCUGGGAGACCAACUCAGGAUAGAGAAUUAGUUCCAGAUUAUCUCUCUCCCUCCACCCAUUGAGAAGGCAAAAAAAAAAUGCAAAACCAUUACAAAUAUGAAGUCAGGCAAAAACAAAUUAUUCAUGUUCUGAAGAAAAAAAGGAAGGACAGAGGGUAGUAAAGAAGGAAGUAAAAGAGAAAGAAAGAGCAAGCAAAAGCAAGAAAGAAAGAGAAAGAAAAGAACCAUGCGUCUCUCUGCACUCUGAUUCACCAUUUCCCUAUCUGGAGUGUGUGUUUCGGCAUGAGAAAUUAAAUGGGAACUUUUGAGGAGUUUUGCAGAAGCUACAGAUGAUUCGAAGAGACCAGCAGGCCAUCCAGAAAAAAGUAUGGAAACUCAGAAAUGCAUAAAAUAUAGGUAUAGUAUUAUAUUUUGCACAAUUAUUUUAUUUUAUCUUUUAAUACCAUAAAUAUACACAAUGGCUUUUUUAAAGUGAAAUUGUUUAAAAAUUUGUGAAAAGAAUGUGAAAGCCAGCAGGCUAGAAAUGGUAGCAUUGGCCUACCCAUAGCCUAUGACCAAGUGCUUAAACCAAAUUUUACAAUACAGUACUGUAAACAUCCCAUAAAAGAAAAAGAAAAACAUCUGACUUCUUCUUUGGUACAAAGGGAGGCUCAAAAAUGUUUCCUCAGAUUUUCCAGAUCACAGGAGCAUCCUCACUCUU
rnacentral:lncRNA from 1 species